UUCAACUCUUACGUGCUAAUUAUUAUGGCAUUUUCGUUGAAAAAUAUGUUCGGUAAAGAAAAAGCUAAAACCGGUGAAAGUAGUGGCCAAAAUACUACACCUUCCCCGGUUGAUGAUAAUCUCAACAUAAAACCGUAAGUUGAAUUCUUUCCUGGUAAUAAAUUGGUGGAGGGAACAUCUCUAGAUAUUUUGGAGAAAGAAGGUACAAAGGACAACGUCACACCAUCUUUGCAACACCAUGCUGAUGGCUUGGAGAAAGGUACAAUGGAACAGGUGGUUUUAUCUCAAUGGGCUGGUUCAAAUAAGGCAGGAUUUAAAGUAGUGCCUUCAAACACUAAGAAGUCCGUUCACCUUGAUGGUGUGUUCAACAUUGUAUCGUACGA
rnacentral:lncRNA from 1 species